UUGUCCCUGGGGUGUUUGCCAGCUGGAGAUGUCCCUGAGCCGAUACUUCUGUACCAGGGGGCUGCUUGCCAAAGCCAGUGUGCAUGUCCGCAUGACGGAAAGCCUUAGGCCUGGCGGCAUCCUCCGCCUUGAACUUUCGGGUUCAAGGGCUAACCCGGCAGCGGCAUUCCCGGGGACUCU
rnacentral:other from 1 species